rnacentral:lncRNA from 1 species
UAUGAUACAAAAUAAAAAAAAGUGUGAAUGUGGAUCAAAAAAGUUUAUAGAGUAAUUACUAAUUAAUAAUCAAUCACAACUGGAUAAAGAUAAGUACAUAUCUAUACGAGUAUUAUGUUGAAGUAUUGAAAAAAAUGAGAGAGUAGUAGGUAAACAAUUUUAAUUAUUAGUUAGGAGUUUAAUUUCUAAAUAAUUUUUAGAUUCAAUAGUUUUUAAAAACAUUAGCCCGUGCAGGAGCA